rnacentral:rRNA from 1 species
AGAAUCAACGCUGGCGGCGUGCCUAACACAUGCAAGUCGAACGAGAAAGUGGAGCAAUCCAUGAGUAAAGUGGCGCACGGGUGAGUAACACGUGACUAACCUACCCUUGAGUGGGGGAUAACCUAGGGAACCUGGGCUAAUACCGCAUAAUACCUUCGGGUCAAAGGAGCAAUUCGCUUAAGGAGGGGGUCGCGGCCGAUUAGUUAGUUGGCGGGUAAUGGCCCACCAAGACUGUGAUCGGUAU